rnacentral:rRNA from 1 species
UUACGCGAAGACCUUACCAGCCCUUGACAUGGGCAGGACCGGGUCAGAGAUGGCCUUUCCCCGCAAGGGGCCUGCUGCACAGGUGCUGCAUGGCUGUCGUCAGCUCGUGUCGUGAGAUGUUGGGUUAAGUCCCGCAACGAGCGCAACCCUUGUCAUUAGUUGCCAUCAUUUAGUUGGGCACUCUAAUGAGACUGCCGGUGACAAACCGGAGGAAGGUGGGGAUGACGUCAAGUCCUCAUGGCCCUUAUGGGUAGGGCUUCACACGUCAUACAAUGGUCGGUACAGAGGGUCGCCAAGCCGCGAGGUGGAGCCAAUCCUUUAAAACCGAUCGUAGUCCGGAUUGCAGUCUGCAACUCGACUGCAUGAAGUCGGAAUCGCUAGUAAUCGCGGAUCAGAAUGCCGCGGUGAAUACGUUCCCGGGUCUUGUACACACCG